CAAUAAGCGGAGGAAAAGAAACCAACAGGGAUUGCCCCAGUAACGGCGAGUGAAGCGGCAACAGCUCAAAUUUGAAAUCUGGCUCCUUCGGGGUCCGAGUUGUAAUUUGCAGAGGAUGCUUCGGCGUUGGGCCCGUGCUAGGUUCCUUGGAACAGGACGUCAUAGAGGGUGAGAACCCCGUCUUUGCUCGGGACACCUCCGCCAUGUGAAGCUCCUUCGACGAGUCGAGUUGUUUGGGAAUGCAGCUCUAAGCGGGAGGUAAAUUUCUUCUAAAGCUAAAUAACGGCCAGAGACCGAUAGCGCACAAGUAGAGUGAUCGAAAGAUGAAAAGCACUUUGGAAAGAGAGUUAAAAAGUACGUGAAAUUGUUGAAAGGGAAGCUCUUGCUGCCAGACUUGACCCGGUUGCUCAGCCGUCCUUUUGGGCGGCGUACUCUUCCGUGGACAGGCCAGCAUCAGUUCGGGCGGCCGGACAAAGUCCCUAGGAAUGUAGCCUCUCGGGGUGUUAUAGCCUAGGGUGCCAUGCGGUCUGCCUGGACUGAGGACAGCGUUUUCGAGGAUGCUGGCGUAAUGGCAGCAAGCGACCC
rnacentral:rRNA from 1 species